CUGGUCUGGAGUCUCUCCCCUCCCAGCUGAGGCCUCAGCUACAAUUAUGCUUGAGAGGUGCUGUGAAGUGAAUCUGGAACACCCAUCUACCUCCCAUCAGCUACCUGAGCACAGGGAGGAGGCGAAGCAGAGGUGGGCACUGGACCAUCGCUGGCCCUGGACGGCAGCACCUGCCACACGGCCCACCCACACUUCGGACCUCCUCUGCAGGCCCACCUGUCUGGCCUCUUUCCUUCCUUGCUGCGUUUUCUACUCCUCGGGACUGAGAAUUUGAAUGUGGCUGCAACCUCGCAGCUGCCGGGCUGUACUGCACUGAGUCAGUCACUUUACCUCUCUGGGCCUCCCUGGCUGGCCUACCUGCUUGGGGGACGGAGCUGCCCAGGGAACUCUGGCUGGAGAGGGCCACAUGCCGCGGGGCGGGCCAGCUGCACCCCCUCAAGCGCCCCAAGUGCGCCAGCUCCAGCCCAGCCCCACCCUCCGGGACUUGGCCUCGCUUUUCCCAAGCCAUCGCUGUCCCUCUGCGGGGUCUCCCUUCAGCGGACUCUGGAGAGCAGCUGGGGUCGGGAAGACCCCCACCUCAGGAGCAGGGGGGAGGAGAAGACUGGGCGGCCACAGGGAAAGGAUUUAAAAUAGAACCAAGGACAGCAGGGGGAGUGACAGGAGCGCGGCUCUGGAAGACAGGCAUCAAAGCUUAGCUGCGAGCGAGGCUGGGCCAAGCAAAGCAGCCCAGGAAGCAGCCUUUCUCUUGCCCUUCCUCGGGGAGUAGUUUUCAACCAGGGACAUAAUUUAUGAACCGGGGAAACAAACUCACGCCUCCGGGCUCACUGC
rnacentral:lncRNA from 1 species